UGUAGUUAGUGGUACGUCACAGGUAUUAAAAAAAAUUAUUAAAAAAAAAAAAUCAAGAAUGUGUGACAAAAUCUGCCAAUCUGGUACCCGUCUUUCCUCCGCCACUACCCAGUUCCUUGUCACCACCCCACCCCCCCAAGUUCCCAGCUUUACAUACCCAAUACAACAACAACGCCAGAUCAAGUAGACUCAGAGCGACCCAGAUACUCCAUUGUCACAAUGAAUCAAGCUUUUCUCCUCAUUCUCACCACACUAACUGUCUCAGGCUUGAUCAACUUGGCAGUGGCUGAAGGUGGGUUUUGCUCGGCUGCUCCUUCCAUCAUCGACUCGGGUUCGGACACCAGUCAGCUGUAUUGGAAGGCCACCAAUCCCACACUUACUCCUUCUCAUCUUCAAGUGUAACUGAUGAUUAAGAGAACAAGUAUUAUGCACAAAUAUGUAUGCCCGAUUACACUGCUGGAGAUUCUCGCCCUCCUUCUCCCUCAUGGACAAGUAGCCGUUACUGGAAGAAGAACCGGGUGGCGACGAUCCGAUAGUAAUCAGUGUGGCCCUGGCCUCGUCCUCGUCGCCUUUGGACGGCCAGCCGGUCUCGGAGAUGUGAACCAGAAGCGUCUUGUAGCCGAGGGAUCCGAGAAUCGCUUGGUCAAGCUUUUGUUGGAUCUGAUGCUCUUCGAUCUUCGUCAAGUUCAAAUCCAUGAGAAUUUUCUGCUCUGUUUCAAAUCGUUAACUUGAAUUUCCCUGAGUUUCAGGCUAUGCAGAAAAACCGCUCGAAGAUCCAAGGCGGCGUGAAAUUCAACAACUGGAAAACUCGCUUCGGCGUGAAGGUAGCCAUGAAGACGUCGUUUGCUGCCUCCACGUCCUCGGGAGUCCAUUCAGUACCAAUGGCCUUGGCUCCAUGCAGUUGGGUGAAUUUUACAUAAUCCAUGAUCCAAUUCUUUUAGGAGCAGCCGCAUCAUCUAGCAUAACUUGUUGCCUUUUUAGUCACUAACGAAGGCCAAAUCGCCGUUAACAUU